rnacentral:rRNA from 1 species
AGAACGAACGCUGGCGGCAUGCCUAACACAUGCAAGUCGAACGCUCCUGGGGCUUCGGCCUCAGGGGAGUGGCGCACGGGUGAGUAGCGCGUGGGAACCUGCCCUGUUGUGGGGGAUAACCGAGGGAAACUUCGGCUAAUACCGCAUAAGCCGGUUGUCUUGAAAGAGAUGACCGGGAAAGAUUUAUCGCGACAGGAGGGGCCCGCGUCGGAUUAGCUAGUUGGUGGGGUAACGGCCCACCAAGGCAGUGAUCCGUAGCUGGUCUGAGAGGAUGAUCAGCCACACUGGGACUGAGACACGGCCCAGACUCCUACGGGAGGCAGCAGUGGGGAAUAUUGGACAAUGGGCGCAAGCCUGAUCCAGCAAUGCCGCGUGAGUGAUGAAGGCCUUAGGGUUGUAAAGCUCUUUCGCCCGCGACGAUGAUGACGGUAGCGGGAGAAGAGCCCGGCUAACUUCGUGCCAGCAGCCGCGGU